UGGGGAAUAUUCCGCAAUGGACGAAAGUCUGACGGAGCAACGCCGCGUGAGUGAUGAAGGUUUUCGGACUGUAAAGCUCUGUUGUCCAGGACGAAAGUGCCUGUUGCAAAUAGUUACAGGUAUUGACGGUACUGAACGAGGAAGCCACGGCUAACUACGUGCCAGCAGCCGCGGUAAUACGUAGGUGGCAAGCGUUGUCCGGAAUUAUUGGGCGUAAAGAGCAUGUAGGCGGGAAUCUAAGUCUGUUGUGAAAAUGCGGGGCUCAACCCCGUAUGGCGAUGGAAACUGGAUUUCUUGAGUGCAGGAGAGGAAAGGGGAAUUCCCAGUGUAGCGGUGAAAUGCGUAGAUAUUGGGAGGAACACCAGUGGCGAAGGCGCCUUUCUGGACUGUGUCUGACGCUGAGAGGCGAAAGCCAGGGUAGCGAACGG
rnacentral:rRNA from 1 species